rnacentral:rRNA from 1 species
CUACGGGGCGCAGCAGUGAGGAAUAUUGCACAAUGGGGGGAACCCUGAUGCAGCAACGCCGCGUGGAGGAUGACGCAUUUCGGUGUGUAAACUCCUUUUAUAUGUCAAGAAAAUGACGGUAGCAUAUGAAUAAGCACCGGCUAACUCCGUGCCAGCAGCCGUGGUAAUACGGAGGGUGCAAGCGUUACUCGGAAUCACUGGGCGUAAAGGACGCGUAGGCGGGUUGGAAAGUCAGGUGUGAAAGCCUACAGCUUAACUGUAGAACUGCACUUGAAACUUCUAAUCUAGAGUAUGGGAGGGGGAGAUGGAAUUAGUGGUGUAGGGGUAAAAUCCGUAGAUAUCACUAGGAAUACCUAAAGCGAAGGCGAUCUCCUGGAACAUUACUGACGCUAAGGCGUGAAAGCGUGGGGAGCAAACAGGAUUAGAUACCCUUGUAGUC